AAACUUUCGCAAUGGACGAAUGUCUGACGGAUCAAUGCCGCGUGAGUGAAGAAGGAUAUCGGAUCGUAAAACUCUAUUGUUAGAGAAGAACAAGGAUGAGCGUAACUACUCAUCCCCUGACGGUAUCUAACCAGAAAGCCACGGCUAACUACCUGCCAGAAGCCGCGGUAAUACGUAGGUGGCAAGCGUUGUCCGGAUUUAUCGGGCGUAAAGCGAGCACAGGCGGUUCUUUAAGUCUGAUGUGAAAGCACCCGGCUCAACUGGGGAAGGUCAUUGGAAACUGGGGAAAUUGAGUGCAGAAGAGGAGAGUGGAAUUCCACGUGUAGCGGUGAAAUGCGUAGAUAUGUGGAGGAACACAAGUGGAGAAGGCGACUCUCUGGUCUGUAACUGACGCUGAGGCUCGAAAGCGUGGGGAGCAAAC
rnacentral:rRNA from 1 species